AUACGUAGGGGGCGAGCGUUGUCCGGAAUGAUUGGGCGUACAGGGUGCGUAGGCGGCUAGGCAAGUCAGAUGUGAAAUCCCCGGGCUUAACUCGGGAGUUGCAUUUGAAACUGCUUAGCUUGAGUGCAGGAGAGGAAAGCGGAAUUCCUUGUGAAGCGGUGAAAUGCGUAGAUAUUAGGAGGAACACCAGUAGCGAAGGCGGCUUUCUGGACUGUAACUGACGCUAAGGCACGAAAGCGUGGGGAGCAAACAGGAUUAGAUACCCUGGUAGUCCACGCUGUAAACGAUGGAUACUAGGUGUGGGGGAGAUACAACCUCCGUGCCGCAGCAAACGCAAUAAGUAUCCCGCCUGGGGAGUACGGUCGCAAGGUUGAAACUCAAAGGAAUUGACGGGG
rnacentral:rRNA from 1 species